rnacentral:rRNA from 1 species
AAUAUUAUACAAGGGGGUCAACCCUGUGCCAGCCAUGCCGCUUUUGUGAAGAAGUUCUUCGGAUUGAAAAGCACUGUAAGUUGGGGGAAAGGGCAGUAAGUAAUUACCUUGCGGUUUUGAGAUUACGUACAGAAUAAGCACCGGCUAACUCUGUUCCACCAGCCACGGGAAUACGAAGGGUUAAAGCGUUAAUCGGAAUUACUGGGCGUAAAGCGCGCGUAGGUGGUUUGUUAACUUGGAAGUGCAAGCCCCGGGCUCAACCUGGGAACUGCUUUCAAAAAUGGAAAGCUAGAGUAUGGCAGAGGGUCGUGGAAGUUCCUGUGUAGCGGUGAAAUGCGUAGAUAUAGGAAGGACCACCAGUGGCGAAGGCGACCACCUGGGCUAAUACUGACACUGAGGUGCGAAAGCGUGGGGAGCAAAC